AUCCUGAAAUAUGGGCAUGAAAAUUGACAAAUGAUAUAGGAUUAUGUUCACAUAAACUUGCCAGUUGGUUCAUAUGUUUGCAUCGAAUUUAUGUUGCGUAAAUAUAUAUCCGAUUUCUUCUCCUAGGAUAUGUAAUCGAGUACCUAGGUUAUCUAUUCGGGGAAUGCAGUUGUAUUGUUUUCCUUUCGGAGUCUAUUAGUUCGUACGUUGAAUAACCUUUUGCUUUUACUACCUUGGUAUCUGUAGAUACAUUUCUGUGAUUGGAGAACGGAGCAGUUUGCAUGCUUGGGGGAAAGUCAUCUGGAGGAUAUAACUCGGAGAUCACUACUUUCAGUGACCGGUAUGCAGAGUUUGAAAAGUUGAACCAUGGAUGUUUUGGUGGGGAAGGUCACACUCUUCUCGCAGCGGGGUGCUAGUCGAAGAUACAUUUCUGUGAUUUGAGGAGAGCGGAGCAGUUUGCAUGCUUGGAGGAUAUAACUCAGGUUCAUUUAGUUCGCGGCCGGUCAUCAAAGCAAGCUUGUUUCUGCUUCCGUUGAUGGAUUAAUGUGGAGACAUAAAUGAUGAUGAUGAUCAUUUAAUUUCGGUUUUCAACGUCGAUUGGAAAAGUCGGAUUCUAGGGUGCAAUAAAUCACAAGUUGUGGUGCAUAACACAUAUCGAAACCCUGAGUUUCCUACAGUUGUCGUAUCUUUGCUCUUAUCAAUCAAAGGCUGGUGCACUACAUCAUUAACCAAACUAAUGAGAAAGGUAUGCUUUCUAAGUGGUGUUCCAUUAUUUUGAGAAUGUACUAGAUCCUCUUGACAAAAUGUGUGGGAACCUUGGUUAUUUUUAUUUAUAAAUUUAAUUAAAUGGGGCCGUCGAUUCCCCAAAUUUUAUUACCUGCGCUUUUAAGCCAAGGAUUCCAUCAUUUUGUUCGAGUUGUAACGAGCCUCUAGUACAUUAUCUUUUUAAUGGCA